UUGACAUCGAUUCGUUUCAAAUUUACACUCUCGAGGCAUAAUAGAACAAUAUAAUUAGGUUUUACUCUUUGUUCGAUAGAAUGAGAAAAAGUACUCAUUGCAAAGUUAUACUGUUAGGGCGCAACCGAAUAGUCUAAUGUUGUUCCGGUUUUGGUUCUUGUGAACGCUGACAUCAAUUGGUUCGAAAUUACAACUCUCGGGGCAUAAUUGAACAAUAUAAAUUAGGUUUUACUCUUUGUUCGAUAGAAUGAGAAAAAGAACUCGUCGCAAAGUUAUACUGCUAGGGGGCAACUGAGUAGUCUAAUAUUGUUCCGGUUUUGGUUCUUGUGAACGUUGACAUCGAUUCGUUCCAAAUUUACACUCUCGGGGCAUAAUAGAACAAUACAAUUAAGUUUUACUCUUUGUUCGAUCGAAUGAGAAAAAGUACUCGUUGCAAAUUUAUAAUAUUAGGGCGCAGCUGAGUAGUCUAAUGUUGUUCCGGUUUUGGUUCUUGUGAAGGUUGACAUCGAUUCGUUCCAAAUUUACACUCUUGGGGCAUAAUAGAACAAUAUAAUUAGCUUUUACACUUUGUUCGAUCGAAUGGGAAAAAAGUACUCGUUACAAAGUUAUACUGUUAGGGCGCAACUGAGUAGUCUAUUGUUGUUCCAGCUUUGGUUCUUAUGAAGGUUGACAUCGAUUCAUUCCAAAUUUACACUCUCGCGGCAUAAUAGAACAAUAUAAUUAGCUUUUACACUUUGUUCGAUUGAAUGAGAAAAAGUACUAGUUGCAAAGUUAUAUUGUUGGGGUACAACAGAGUAGUCUAUUGUUGUUCCGGUUUUGGUUCUAGUGAAAGUUGACAUCGAUUCGUUCCAAAUUUACACUCUCGGGGCAUAAUGAAUAAAAUAAUUAGCUUUUACACUUUGUUCGAUUGAAUGAGAAAAAGUACUAGUUGCAAAGUUAUACUGUUGGGGCGCAACAGAGUAGUCUACUGUUGUUCCGGUUUUGGUUCUUGUUAAGGUUGACAUCGAUUCAUUCCAAAUUUACACUCUCGGGGCAUAAUAGGACAAUAUAAUUAGGUUUUACUCUUUGUUCGAUAGAAUGAGAAAAAGUACUCAUUGCAAAGUUCUACUGUUAGGGCGCAACUGAAUAGCGUUAUGUUGUUACGGUUUUGGUUCUUGUGAACGUUGACAUCGAUUCGUUCGAAAUUACAACUCUCGCGGCAUAAUUGAACAAUAUAAUUAGGUUUUACACUUUGUUCAAUAGAAUGAGAAAAAGUACUCGUCGCAAAGUUAUACUGUUGGGGCGCAACUAAGUAGUCUAAUGUUGUUCCGGUUUUGGUUCUUGUGAACGUUGACAUCGAUUCGUUCCAAAUUUACACUCUCGGGGCAAAAUAGGACAAUAUAAUUAAGUUUUACGCUUUGUUCGAUCGAAUGAGAAAAUGUACGCGUUGCAAAUUUAUACUGUUAGGGCGCAGCUGGGUAGUCUAAUGUUGUUCCGGUUUCGGUUCAUGUGAAGGUUGACAUCGAUUCGUUCCAAAUGUACACUCUUGGGGCAUAAUAGAACAAUAUAAUUAGCUUUUACACUUUGUUCAAUCGAAUGGAAAAAAAUACUCGUUGCAAAGUUAUACUGUUAGGGCGCAGCUUAGUAGUCUAAUGUUGUUCCGGUUUUGGUUCUUGUGAAGGUUGACAUCGAUUCGUUCUAAAUUUACACUCGCGGGGCAUAAUAGAACAAUAUAAUUAGCUUUUACACUUUGUUCGGUCGAAUGGGAAAAAGUACUCGUUGCAAAGUUAUACUGUUAGGGCGGAACUGAGUAGACUAUUGUUGUUCCGGUUUUGGUUCUUGUGAAGGUUGACAUCGAUUCGUUCCAAAUUUACACUCUUGGGGCAUAAUAGAACAAUAUAAUUAGUUUUUACACUUUGUUCGAUUGAUUAAGAAAAAGUACUAGUUGCAAAGUUAUACUGUUGGGGCGCAACAGAGUAGUCUAUUGUUGUUCCGGUUUUGAUUCUUGCUAAGGUUGACAUCGAUUCGUUCCAAAUUUACACUCUCGGGGCAUAAUAGAACAAUAUAAUUUGGUUUUACUCUUUGUUCGAUAGAAUAAGAAAAAGUAGUCAUUGCAAUGUUAUACUGUUAGGGCGCCACUGAAUAGUCUAAUAUUGUUCCGGUUUUGGUUCUUGUGAACGUUGACAUCGAUUCGUUCGAAAUUACAACUCUCGGGGCAUAAUUGAACAAUAUAAUUAGGUUUUACUCUUUGUUCGAUAGAAUGAGAAAAAGUACUCGUCGCAAAGUUAUACUGCUAGGGCGCAACUGAGUAGUCUAAUGUUGUUCCGAUUUUGGUUCUUGUGAACGUUGACAUCGAUUCGUUCCAAAUUUACACUCUCGGGGCACAAUUGAACAAUAUAAUUAGGUUUUACUCUUUGUUCGAUAAAAAGAGAAAAAGUACUCGUUGCAAAGUUAUACUGUUAGGGCGCAACAGAGUAGUCUAAUGUUGUUCCGGUUUUCGUUCUUGUGAACGGUGACAUCGAUUCGUUCCAAAUUUACACUCUCGGGNCUGGGAACUUGUUGUACACAAUCUCGUCGUUGUGCCUUGGGCGGACAGGGGAGGUACUGUCCGUACGGCGGUCCGCCGCCGUGCCCGAACCGAACCAAAUUGGUAUCGGCCUCGGGGCGGGGGCGUGACAGAAAAAUUACUAGUUGCAAAGUUAUACUGUUGGGGCGCAACAGAGUAGUCUAUUGUUGUUCCGGUUUUGGUUAUUGUUAAGGUUGACAUCGAUUCGUUUCAAAUUUACACUCUCGAGGCAUAAUAGAACAAUAUAAUUAGGUUUUACUCUUUGUUCGAUAGAAUGAGAAAAAGUACUCAUUGCAAAGUUAUACUGUUAGGGCGCAACCGAAUAGUCUAAUGUUGUUCCGGUUUUGGUUCUUGUGAACGCUGACAUCAAUUGGUUCGAAAUUACAACUCUCGGGGCAUAAUUGAACAAUAUAAAUUAGGUUUUACUCUUUGUUCGAUAGAAUGAGAAAAAGAACUCGUCGCAAAGUUAUACUGCUAGGGGGCAACUGAGUAGUCUAAUAUUGUUCCGGUUUUGGUUCUUGUGAACGUUGACAUCGAUUCGUUCCAAAUUUACACUCUCGGGGCAUAAUAGAACAAUACAA
rnacentral:lncRNA from 1 species